GAUGAACGCUGACAGAAUGCUUAACACAUGCAAGUCAACUUGAAUUUGGGUUUUUAACUUAGGUUCGGGUGGCGGACGGGUGAGUAACGCGUAAAGAACUUGCCUCACAGCUAGGGACAACAUUUGGAAACGAAUGCUAAUACCUAAUAUUAUGAUAAUAGGGCAUCCUAUAAUUAUGAAAGCUAUAAGCGCUGUGAGAGAGCUUUGCGUCCCAUUAGCUAGUUGGAGAGGUAACGGCUCACCAAGGCGAUGAUGGGUAGCCGGCCUGAGAGGGUGAUCGGCCACAAGGGGACUGAGACACGGCCCUUACUCCUACGGGAGGCAGCAGUGGGGAAUAUUGGACAAUGGACCGAGAGUCUGAUCCAGCAAUUCUGUGUGCACGAUGAAGUUUUUCGGAAUGUAAAGUGCUUUCAGUUGGGAAGAAACAAAUGACGGUACCAACAGAAGAAGUGACGGCUAAAUACGUG
rnacentral:rRNA from 1 species